AUUGAACGCUGGCGGCAGGCCUAACACAUGCAAGUCGAACGGUAGCACAGAGAGCUUGCUCUCGGGUGACGAGUGGCGGACGGGUGAGUAAUGUCUGGGAAACUGCCUGAUGGAGGGGGAUAACUACUGGAAACGGUAGCUAAUACCGCAUAAUGUCGCAAGACCAAAGAGGGGGACCUUCGGGCCUGUUGCCAUGGGAUGUGCCCGGGGGGGAUUAGCUAGUUGGUGGGGUAAUGGCUUACCAAGGCGACGAUCGGUAGCCGGUCUGAGAGGAUGACCGGCCACAUUGGGACUGAGAGACGGCCCAGACUCCUACGGGAGGCAGCAGUGGGGAAUAGUGCGCAAUGGGCGGAAGCCUGAUGCGGCAAAGCCGCGUGCGGGAUGACGGCCUUCGGGUUGUAAACCGCUUUCGCCUGUGACGAAGCGUGAGUGACGGUAAUGGGUAAAGAAGCACCGGCUAACUACGUG
rnacentral:rRNA from 1 species